rnacentral:rRNA from 1 species
AUGGGGCUGCUGGCUCCGGCACCCCACGUGGUGCCGGAGAAGAAGGCCACAUGCACUCGGAAGAGUUCCCGUUUUCAGGUGUUAUCGGAUGAUGACUCCGAGGCCGACUCCUCUCGCAAAGGCGAGGAGGAGAAGAAGAAAGCCUCUCCCCCAGCGGGGGGAGGGAGGAAAAGGAAGGCCUCCCCACCGAGGGAGGCCGAAGGGUCCAAGAAAGGAAAAACUCUUUCCCAUGACUACUUUGCCAACGUUAGUGAUGACGACGAGGACUGGCCCCCAAGGGCCAAGCCCCUGGCGAGAUCAUAA